GGGUCACCUCGGCAGGUACCGCUUGAGACGUCCACUGGACGUCUCUUGGACGUCUCCACUCCCCGGGUCGUCCCCUCGGCGUGGACUCCAACUCGGCCCCUCCGGGCUCUCUCGCGCCAGGCCCAGCACGCAAAUGGUCCAUCGAGGCAUCGGCGGCUCGCGUCUUACGUCAACAGCUCUAGGUGGACAUUCCACGUUCCCGUGACGGGCCUCCCCACGUGACCCCGCCAUCCCUCGCGGGCCCGUUUCCUGGUACACAAUCCGUCUCGUGCUGUCUGCGCCGGAGGUGACCACCACCACCACCACCACCUCGUCGUCAUCGUUACUUCAUCUCCGUGGUGGUCAAGCUCUCAGGUAAGUUUCCUCCCAACACCUUUGACUGCCAUUCCGUCACCAGGUCUUCGCUCGUCCGCCAUCCUCAUGUGCCCCUGCCCAAACCCGCUUGGUUUCCUAAACAGUAAAAUGUCAUGUUUUUAAUUUCCCUUUGUUCGCUGUUCUACGUGCUCCUCCUCUUCCUUGUCUCCUUAUUGUUACAACUAAGUACAGUAUUUAGCAAAUCAUUGUAGCCUAUUUUUUUAAAACAACAUUCGAGCAUUGCCCAAAUGAGCCAGUACAUCAAAGGCACCCUGAUCUACUACUGCCAUGACACAUUUUAUUCAUUUGUUCGCUUCUAAAGGUCCUAAUUUAACUUUGUGAAAGACGUCCUUGUCGUCGGUGAAUGCGUCUCUUGUCAAAACUGCGUUCUCCGUCGACAUUGUGUACUUAACAAUAAUUAACAUUUUUAAAGCGCAUUCCAUCCUAGAAUCCCAAUGCGUAAUGCGUGGAAAGCAGGAAACUAAAACAGAACCCGGGGCAACCGAAUAAACUAGAGAGGGAAGGCCACUUUAGAGAGAUGUGUUUUAAAGAAGACUUAAAUAUAUCUUACCGACUCUGCCCGAUUUCAAUUGGCAAAUCGUCCCAAUGGCUUGGGUGCCACGCUAACAAAAGCCCGAUCGAUAGUCCAUUGGCCUACGCGGUUGCUUUCCAGACCCAUUUCCCCGUCCGUAUUUCUGCGCGUCAUCAGCAGGCCAGGUUUGUUAAGCCGAUGUCAUUGGGUCGCUAGAUGUUAUUGGCAAAAGCACUCCACGAUAAAGCACAGGGCUCUGUUUACAAUUGUAAUCAACGUUUUACAUAAGCUCAUCAUGCGUUGUUGGUGAUGCAUUACGGUUGAAAGCAUAUGUAAGCUCACAUCUUUUCUGCAUCUCCGCAUAUAAAUAAACAUGCGUUUCAGUCCUUGGGGCCUAUUGGCCUUCGAGACCAAUAUUAUCCGGCCGCAUUUGUCUCGGCAAGCAAAUGUUUGUAAUUGUAUGCCAGACCAUGCUACUACUUGCCAAAGGGUUUGCGUUAUAUAAUUUAUGGGGCAAUGUUCAUAAGAUUGAUUGGCCUGUGACUUGCGCUGCUAUGACAAGCGCGGAUAAUUGCCGUUUUUCAAAGGAGCAGUCGUAUCUCUAAAUAUAAAUCAUUAAACAAGCACAGUGGUGAUCCUGAACCUUACAUUUUAAGAAUAAGAGUGUGCUGCAGUGUUGUCGCCACAAGUCUUGAUAGUUUCCGCAGCGAUAAUGCAUUACGCCGUUAUUUUGCAUGUGCUGUGUUUUAACACGUGCAGGAGGAAUUUUAGAAUUGUCUGUAUUGCAGAUGCAUUAUUGUCGAAUUGAACAAUUCUCAAGUAACUCGUAUUGGUCAAUCGAUCCUUUUGAUAUCGAUUCUUAGAUCUCGCCAAACAUGCAUAAUCAUAUCGUGCACGUAGUAUGUGGUUUUAUUUAUUUACUUAUCCCUAUACAUCAUAUGGAAUGGGUUUCAAACGAUCCCAGCAGCCAUUUGUAGCCAGUACACAUUU